GACGUAGGGGGCGAGCGUUGUCCGGAAUUACUGGGCGUAAAGAGCACGUAGGCGGGACCUUAAGUCAGGUGUGAAAGACCGCGGCUCAACCGCGGGGUUGCACCUGAAACUGGGGUUCUUGAGGGCAGGAGAGGAAAGCAGAAUUCCUGGUGUAGCGGUGAAAUGCGUAGAAAUCAGGAGGAAUACCAGUGGCGAAGGCGGCUUUCUGGACUGACCCUGACGCUGAGGUGCGAAAGCGUGGGGAGCAAACAGG
rnacentral:rRNA from 1 species